GGGAAACACUGUGGUUGACAGCCCUACACAGAGAUCUCGGGGAGGAUGACGAGAGCUUUCUCAAUGGAAAGAGGGAGAAUGAACACUGGGCAAACAAAAACAGAUGGCCACCACAAACCAUCAAGAGCUUUGAAAGAGACGGUGCUAUCUCGGAGCUGCCUCUCUGGUCCUCUGGUCCUGCAGUUGUUGAAUUGUGAUCCCCAGAGAGAGAUGUUGAAGUCCUAACCCUGGUAUUUGUGAGGGUGAUCUUAUUUGGAAACACUGUGGAGUCUUUGUAGAUGCAAUCAAUUGAACAUGAAUUUAUUAAGGCGGGACCUAAUCCAUUAUGACUGGUGUUCUGAUAAGAGAUGUAAAGACAGAGACACACAGGAAGAAUGCCAUGUGAUGACGAAAACAAAGAUUGGAAUGAUACAGCUACAAGCCAAGGAACGCCAAGGACCCAUGGCCACCACUGGAAGCCAGGAAGAGGCAAGGAAGGAUUCUACCCAGAGUCUCAAGGGGAGCGUGGGCCUGCUGAUUUUGGACUCCAAACCCCCAGAACCAUAGAAGAAUAAAUUUCCAUUGUUUUAAGCUGCUCAGUUUGUGGUACUUUGUGAUGGCAGUCCUCGGAAAUGAAUACACGUCCACCUCCUGUUUCUUCUCCUUUCCUCCACCAGCCUCAGACUGUAACUCUCACCAAUACUACAAGACAGCACUUCCCAAAUUUUAAUACACAUACAAAUCAUUUGAGGAUCUCGAUAAACUGUUGAUUCGGAUUCAGUAGUUCUGGAUGAGGCCUGAGAGUCUGCAUUUCUUAGAAGUUCCCGAGUGAUGUCCACGCUGCUGGCCCAAAAACCACACUUGGAGAAGCAAGGCUAUAUAUAAGAGAGUCAGCAAGGAAAUGUUGCUGUCAGGUCGUCCAUGGGCUACAGGUAGAGAAAUCCUGCCUUACUGUCGCUCUUCAUAUUGAACCCUGGAGAAGAAGAAAUGAGCACCACCACUCACGAAUACAGAUUUUAACCAUCUAAAUCUAUCCCAGGACCUUUCAAAGGGUAGUGACGGACUGCAAAUGAGCAUAGCAUCUAAUCAGCAACUGAGACGGCAGAUAAGAACGUCUCUAUAAAGUGUUCCCUGGAUUUUACAGUAAGUCAUUCAAGGACCCGCACAGGAUGCCAAGUUCCAACCUGAUUUGCGUCACUGCAAUUGUGGCUUUGUGCCAAGGCUAGUUAUCAAACAUAUUGAAAAGAUAACCUCACAAAAUGUGGGACGAAAAUAAGACCGCGAGCUUGGUACGACAGAAGCAAAACGCGAGUGGAGGUCAUCUCUAAGUCACUGCGGAAGGACGAUGUCAGAGAUUUGUUCCAACAAGUUUUUGAUGAAAGAAUUUGAUUAGUGGACUAUGGAGCUCUUAAAGUCAAAGAAAACGAAGCCAGGCAAUUCCGGGCUUGGUCGCGAUUCAAAAGCUGUAAAAGCUGCCCUGCUGUGUUUAAAGCGAUGGGACCGGUUUGGCGCGCAGGCCAAGGCUCGGGGAGCAGCGAGGACUCGCGGCGGGGAAAUCCACUGGCAGCGCGCGCGGUGACUCAGCGCUGAGUCAUGCCGGGCGCUACGUGCCGGCCCGGCGCCCGCCCGCCGCGCAGUCAGCUGAGCUCGGCUGCUUCCUGGAAGACCCUCCCCCGGCCCGGAGGGCGGGUCGCCACCUCGAGCCGCCCGGGGCCUCCGCGGUCACACACUGGCCUGCACGCACGGCCUCCUCGCCCCAGCCUGCGGACAUGCAGGACCCAGCGUCCAGGGCAAGAGUCACAUGUGACAGUUGGUUCCAGAGCUUCGGCGGAUGCUUCCGCCCCAUGUGUUUCCUCAAAACUGAGAUUCCAGUUGCUCUGGCCGCUUUCGUGUUUGUUAGGUUUUUAAUUUCUUUCUUUUUUUUUUUUCUUUUUCCUGGCAGGGGAGUAACACGCUGAUCUUUUUAUAGUUUCCAAUAUUUUAAACGAAGUCCAGGAAGAAUGCAUUAAUAAAACAUGUGUUGAAAAUGACGCAUCAAAUGGUCACACUGCUUUGGGGUCUAAGAUUAUUAUAAGGGACUCUCCCCAGUCACGCAGAAAUCCAGUAUAUUAAUGAAGUGAAGGAAGAGUGGCAAGCCCAGCUCUGCAGUUGAGACACAGCCCUGGCACACCUUCUGCUGACAUGUGCCACUCCUGGAAUGCUGGGUCACUCCACCCUCAAACUAACUUCUGGCUGAACUGGGGGUAUCCUGGCUACAGCUGAGGAGAGGCUUCAGUCCGAGUUUUCACACUUGAACUUUUAGUUCAGGAGCAAAAGCCAAAAAAUGCAACCUACCCCAAGCAACAGCCAGGAUGUUGAUGCUGCCAGGCAAUUCCUGGCUCACUGGACCACCACCUCCUACUUUCUGGACCAGGAGGAUACACCAGAGACCAACCUCCCGUGAUUCAGGAGGCCUUGCUGACAAAUCACUGAUCCAGCCAGACUUCUUCCUUUGCUUGAGUUACUACCUGGUAAUGAGUUGUGCACUUUGCAAAGUGUAUUGAUACUUUUACACAAGCAAGAUUGGAAAAAAUACAUGCAACGUUUAUUUUAAAAUGUUGGCCUUGGGAACUAGAAAUGUUUUAGGGGACAUGAGAUUUUAUUUUUAGUACCAUAUCUGUUCUAACAAGCUUAAAACUUCAUACAAUAAGUCGCUCGCUACUGACAUGUGAGUCAUCAUAUUAUCAUCAGAUUUCUAGUGUAGUGGCAUUCUUUUUCUACAAAGAAGUAUUAAAUGCAUAGGACUUAAAAUACUGUAAUAAGGCCCCAGCUGUAUGGGAGAAUAAUUUUUAAUCUAUACGGAAAAGCUGACUAUGACUUGACGUGAAUCAACAGAUUUGUGGUACCCAUUAAUACAAUGUGAUAUAGUAAAGAUGAGAAAAAUCUAAGAAUAUUGAAAGAAUAUGUAGUGAAGGAUCCUGCAGUUAUAAUAAUGAAGCUUGUCUCAAAGCCUUGCUUCUGGAUCUGGCGACAAAAUACUUAAUUAGCAUUUUAUUGCCAUGUAAUCUAUCCAUCUCACUUUAUAUUUAAUUGGGAAAUUUACUUUUAAAACUAAAUUCUUGGGCCGGCCCAAUGGUGCAAUGGUUAAGUUCACACAUUCUGCUUCGGCGGCCCACGGUUCACCGGUUCAGAUCCCAGGUGCAGACAUGGCACCGAUUAACAAGCCAUGCUGUGGUAGGCGUCCCACAUAUAAAGUAGAGGAAGAUGGGCACGGAUGUUAGCUCAGGGCCAGUCUUCCUCAGCAAAAAGAGGAGGGUUGGCAGCAGAUGUUAGCUCAGGGCUGAUCUUCCUCAAAAAAAAAAAAACUAAAUUCUUGUCUUCACUUUCUUUUAGCCUUAUUUUAAAAAUCAAAAGUCACAGAAAAGUUACCUGGUUAAAGUUUACCUAAUAAAUGCUCACUAGAGACAAAUUUGAACAAUCUCCUGACUCCAAACCAAGUAGGCAUUUUAUUUGACCAAUCUGCCUCCAAGGCUGUCAUUUCCAGACAAUUAUGUUUUAUUGCUGUGACAAAUAAAAAUGGCAAGCAAUAGGAUAUAUUGGAGAAUAUGCGGAAGCCAUGUGGUAUAAACCUAAUUCGGCCUGACCUUGUCUUUCCAAAAGGGCCUGACCAAGGCCAUUGGGCAUGCAUUGUAUAUCUGCUUUAGAUAUUCCCUAUGUCAAGAGCAAAGGCCCUUGAGAUAAAGGUGCAACCUCCCUCCCCCUCCCAACGUUGGCGGCUCCUUAAGGAUUAAGCAUCUUUCCUUAGGCUAGAAACUGAUUGCUGCGCUCACCUGUGACCACCCAGCUCGAGACAAUAGACUUGCCUCCUGCUACGCCCACCAAGAUAGCAGACCCACUACCUGGUGUGUCCAUUAAGCACUGUGCCAACAGGGCAAUCUUGUGACUAUUGUGGGAGGGACAUUUCAAUCAUAUGUAAAGCACCCUCUUUGGAGGUAUAUAACCACUCUGUACACCUCAUUUCUUUGGUGCCCUUUCUUCCUUCAGGAAGAAAGGCCCCGGGCCAUGGUCCUCAGAUUUCAGCUCAGAAUAAACUCACCCAAAUUUUCAUUUAUAGAUUGGUUAUGGAUUAUUUUCGUUGACAGCUGCUAUUUUUAAUGCCAUUUCAGAACUUUAAUUUUAUUCUUUCCUCCUCACUUCACUACUCUCACUGAGCCAUCUAUACUGUACCAGAAUUGCACAACAGAGGGUGGAAAAACACACAGAACCUUGGAAAGUGUGAAUAGGUUAAUGGCUAAGUAUCAGCAGAAAUGCUCAUAGGUUUUGGGACUAGUGGAUCAUGAAAGAACAAGAAUCUG
ensembl:lncRNA